GUUCUUUUUAUUAUUUCAAGAUUUUUUGUUGUUGCUUCUUCCUUAAUACUUUUAGAAUGUCACGGAAUUAAGGAGCGGCAUAACUUAAACAUAGACUUCGACACUAGUAAUAUGAAACCUCAUAUUGGUUUUCACAACAACAACUACUCAGUAUAUUCCCACCAGGUGAGGCCUGGGGAGGGUAAUAUGUAGACGAGCCUUACCCCUGUCCGAAAGGGCAGAGAGACUGUUUCCAGUCGACCCUCGGCGUAUAGGAUAAAAAAGGGAAAGCUGCAUUAAGAAACAAAGGUAAAAUUAGAAACACAAGCAAGACAAAACAAAAUAAUNN
rnacentral:lncRNA from 1 species